CUAGUUUGUCAUAGAAGAGGAAUGCGGUGGAGGAAUUAAUAGAGGGAGAGAAGUUAGGAGAAGACAGAAUAGGGUAGGGGAGAGAGUAAUUCUACUACCAAGCUCAUCAUUCCACCCAAUCCAAAAGCUUCUGAACUAUCUGGUGACAAUAUAGGAAGGCUAAAUCAGAGUUUGUUGAAUUUUUUUUUUGGGGGGGGGAUAAAGUAAACCAUAUGUUGCCCUUUAGAUUUUUUUUUUUUGUUGCAUUUUCCAUGUAGCUUUAUAAAUACGGAGAGGUUAUAUUAUACAAACAUAUACAAUCUACUCUUUCAUUUGCAUUUAACCAAGUAAGGUGUUGAUGAAGUAGGUAUUAUGUUUAUUUCCCUGUGCCUUGAAGUCUUACAAAAAGGAUUUAUGUUAGAAAGCAUUUUAAAAAAUAAUGUUAGGUUAUAAAUCUUGAUUUUCAAUGUUCUAUGUGGUUGAAUAGUGUCUAAAAGAUACUGUUACAUAAAAAAACCCAGAACAUAUAGUUAAUAUGAAAGCUCAAACCUGUAUUAAUUUAGCAGAAGUAGUUAAUUUUAACUUCCAUAAAUGAUGGUCUUAUUUGGAGACUGAAAUAUCACUACAAAAUAUUUUCCUAUUUUGAGAUGUAAUCCUCGUAUAAGCAAGACACAAUUUUAAUGGUUAUAUGGCAGGACGAGUGACAGACAAGAAUCCCUCAGACACCGAAUUGUAGAAGGAAAGGGCUUUAUUCAGUCAGGAGCAUCAGC
rnacentral:lncRNA from 1 species